rnacentral:tRNA from 1 species
AAGGGUAUAGCACAGUGGUAGAGUGCACAUUUAGCAGGCAUGAGGUCCUGGGUUCAAUCUCCAAUACCCCUA